UUCUCCUCCCAGUCUGUGAGUCCUUCUUCCUGCUCUGUCAGUCUGUCCAUGCCUCCUUUAAAAGUUAUUGAAAACUAACCCUGUCUGGGUAGAAGAGAAAUUGAUCUCCUCCUCCUUUCUCCAGCUCCUCCCGGCAGAAAGUAAACCCAGAUGAGCCGUGACACGGAAGGUCAGCUUCUCUAUGGAGGAGGCUUGCUAAGAUGUCCUGCAGAUAAUACAGAGCUGAUCCCGGGCAGAGAAUGGAGGAGGGAAAGCAGAAGGGAAAGGUAAUGAUUUACAUACUGAAAAACAAAUGGCAGAAGGAAAAGAUCUGUAUCAGAAGUCAAAAAGUCCUGAAGUGGCUAUGGAGACUAAAGAGACUUGAAGCCGGUCCAAAGGCUUGAAAAAACUCUUGAAGACUGUUAAAGAUAUUGAAGUUCUCCUCUCUCCCACUCUCACCAGCUCCACUCUUCCCCUCAUGUAGGAGCAGUACAUUGGUUCUACCAAAGGGGAAAGUCUCAACAAUGGGUUUGGGGAUUGGAGUUACUCUUGUGCCAAAGAAUUCUGCUCAACUAAAAGAUAACUAUAAUUCCAGAGGACUGAUUAAAAAAAGAAAAAGAAGUCUGCCCAUCUCAUGAAAGGGAUGAUAUUAAAAUACACACAAUAAAAAAAUGCAU